UGAGUCGGCCGGACGGCUGCGUCACCGCCUCGGCGGUGUCGAGGAAAGUCCGGGCUCCACAGGGCAGGGUGGUGGCCAACAGCCACCCGGGGUGACCCGCGGGACAGUGCCACAGAAAGCAGACCGCCUCGACGACCUCGGUCGUCGCGGUAAGGGUGAAACGGUGGUGCAAGAGACCACCAGCGAUCCGGGUGACCGGAUCGGCUCGGUAAACCCCACCCGGAGCAAGUCCAGACAGUGUGCGUCCGAGGGCGGCCCGCCCGAGCACACGGGUAGGACGCUGGAGGUCGUCGGCAACGGCGACCCGAGAUGGAUGGCCGUCACCCCGGUCCGGGCAACCGGCCCGGGGGACAGAACCCGGCUUACAGGCCGACUCAUCCC
rfam:Janibacter indicus strain YFY001, complete genome.